AUAGACUACUCGUCGUUUUUUGUUUAAUUUAACGAACGGAAAACUAGAAUUUUCUUCAAUGUAUCACUUUAGAAAAGCUUGAUUGGUCAUACCACCCCGUCUUCUAUACUAAAAUAUUAAACAAGGGGCUAAGUAAAUAAUACAAAGACGUAAAUAAAUAACAGUCAGGCAUAGUAUGAGUCAGUCAGCUGAGCGAAGGACCCCACGCAGCACGCUCACACGUGUUUGUCUACAGCCAUGGCGGACAUGCAGAUGAAGAUUCUCCGCAAGAAAA